rfam:Trichuris trichiura, WGS project CBXK01000000 data, contig: TTRE_3734
UUCGGCUCCGGAGAGGGAGCCUGAGAAACGGCUACCACAUCCAAGGAAGGCAGCAGGCACGCAAAUUACCCACUCCCAGAUCGGGGAGGUAGUGACGAAAAAUAACGGAACGUUUCUCCAUGAGACGCGUUACCGGAACGAUCGAGCCGUACAUAAGUUCGGCUAAAUCUAUUGGAGGGCAAGUCUGGUGCCAGCAGCCGCGGUAAUUCCAGCUCCAAUAGCGUAUAUUAAAGUUGCUGCGGUUAAACCGCUCGUAGUUGGAUUGCGGAUGUCGACGACGGUCGUCCUAAGCAGGAGUCGUUCCGUCGCUCGUCACCUGUUCGAUCAAGAUUGCCCUGGAUGCUCUUCAGUGAGUGUCCUUGGCGACUUGAAAGUUUACUUUGAGAAAAUGAGAGCGCUCAAGGCAAGCCGUAGUGCUUGAACCGUGGUGCAUGGAAUAAUGAAAGAUGGCCUCAGUGCUAUUUUGUUGGUUUACGGCUAUGAGGCAAUGAUUAAAAGAGACUGACGGGGACAUUCGUAUUGCUGCGUUAGAGGUGAAAUUCUUGGAUCGCAGCAAGACGACCAAUUGCGAAAGCAUUUGUCAAGAAUGUUUUCAUUAAUCAAGAACGAAAGUUAGAGGUUCGAAGGCGAUCAGAUACCGCCCUAGUUGUGACCGUAAACGAUGCCAACCAGCGAUUCGGCGAUGUUCUUUUUGUGACUCGCUGAGCAGCUUCCGGGAAACCAAAGUGUUUCGGUUCCGGGGGAAGUAUGGUUGCAAAGCUGAAACUUAAAGGAAUUGACGGAAGGGCACCACCAGGAGUGGAGCAUGCGGCUUAAUUUGACUCAACACGGGAAAACUCACCCGUCCCGAACACUGCGAGGAUUGACAGAUCAAGAGCUCUUUCUUGAUUCAGUGGGUAGUGGUGCAUGGCCGUUCUUAGUUGGUGGAGCGAUUUGUCUGGCUAAUUCCGAUAACGAACGAGACUCUGGCCUACUAACUAGCGGCGGUAUUCACGUCUCCCGCGCGACGCCGCGCUGCGCUGCGGCUGAGCACAGUCGUCGCCGUUUGCGCGAGCGCUCCGCGGAGCACCUGCAGUGCCGGCAGCCGCUUCUUAGAGGGACCAGCGACACUUUCGCAAGCCGCACGAGAAAGAGCAAUAACAGGUCUGUGAUGCCCUUAGAUGUACGGGGCUGCACGCGUGCUACACUGACGGCGUCAGCGUGCGUUCAAGCCCGGCCUGGCAAGGCCAGGAAAUCGGUUGAAACGUUCUCGUGACUGGGACA